AGUGUAGUCUCUUCAGCCCGGCGCGGUUGCCAGGGCAACGGUACCCUGGGGCCGGACCGCCUGGCUGGAGUGUGGCUCCGGGUUCCACCGAUAAACCGGCGUGGAAAAUGGCUUUCUUACGAAAAACCAGCCCACCUGCUCACGGUGUUUUUAGUGACCUCAGUGACAUCUCCUUAGAAGAUUCAAGGACGGAAGACCUCAGAAACUUGAAAGUCAGUAGAAGUUUUACCCAAGCAGCCUCCGGUCAAAGCAGAUUUCUAAAAAGAAACCAAACUAUCGGUGAGAAGCACUUAAACCUGCAAGACAAUGCUGUCCUGGACAGUGGGGCCCGGCUGACCCUGGGCAGACCCCUCGCCACCGCCUCCAAGAUCCGAGCCAGCGCCGCGCUCAUGAAGCUGGCCCAGCUGGAAACCAAGAUCCGGAGUCGGCAGAGCGCGCCCACGAGCUGGUCUGACAUGGAGUCUGACUCGCGGCUCCUGGAGGACGGUCUUGCCGGGAGCGUGGACAGAUUCGCCCCGGGAGCCACCUCGGGCCCUGCCUCGCCGCACACCCACAGAACUUUCCAGAAACAAGCCCGUGAAGCCCCCCUUCCCAAGAGCAGUGUGCAGAGUGGGCAGGCCAGUAGGUUCCUGAAGAAGAAACAGCCACCUGUGGGUAGCGCAGCCCCCGAGGCCCACGCUGGGAAGGAGAGGAAUCUUCAAACACCCAGACAGAAAGAACCUGCUAGAAAAUUUGAUGCCCCAGACAGCGAUGAAGAGGAAAUGAAAGAAUUGCUAGGAAGCUUGAUGGAAUCUUCUAGAGAAAAAGAAACAAGUCUAAAUCAGAGGUUCACCAGCACUACCGUCAGUGAGAAGGAGCGCGUGAAACCAUCGGCGGGUCAGAUCCCUGCCCCGCCCCGAGCCCCUCUGUCCAGGGCGGAGCUCUCCAGCUCAGGGCCUUCCCAGACCCUGGGCCUGUCCAGCACGCGGUCAGCGCGCCGGGGGUCAGCGCGCCGGGCCCUCCGCAGUACUCGGUCGGGAACCUGCUGCCCGCAGACUCCGGCGGCCCGCGACACAGCCUCCCGCGACACAGCCUCCCGCGACUCCUCGAUUUCCAUCCCCGACGCCGCGGUUUCAAGAUCAAAGUCUUCAACGAUGGGUCACAUCCAGCUCGCGUCUUCCUCCGGGAGGAGCGGGAGGAGCGAGCCUGGGCCCGGGGAAGCCUCCGAUGACAGCCUGAACGAUUUUAGAAUCAAUAUUUUAUCCCUUGAUGAUCUGUCUCCGGCCGUCAGUGAGAGAUCAGACUUGGAACAGAAAGAAGGAGCCACUCAGAGGGCGAGAACGCCAGGCAGGAGCCGCCCCGACAAGACACCUGCUGGACUGGACGCACCGAGCCAUGCCCUGCCCAGGAGCUCAGCAUUUCAGGGAAAGGCCACCUCUGUGGUUGGGGACGAGGGCCUCCCCACUGAAAGUGAGGUCUCAGAGCUUCUGAGUGCCAGCCUGGCCUCUGCCGCCCAGCAGGACAGUGUGUCCAGCGCGAAGCCAUCAUCUGAGACGCCCACAGAGGACAGCGUGGGCUCGGCUUAUUCGGAAGAUUUUGAAAGCCCGCCGAGUCCCCCGGCCUCCGAGCCAACGGCUCCUUCCGAGGCAGCUCUGGACGGAACACUGGCCACAGUGUCGGAAUGCUCGAGGAGUCUGAGGACAGACCCCCCCAAACCACCCAGGGCUAGGAAGAAGGGCUGCCGGGGCGUGGAGAGGGGCACCGUGAGGGAAACGGCCGUGCAGACCCUGGAUCCGGCCUUCACCUACCAGUGGACCAAGGCGGCCGGGAUGGCGGCCAUUGGGCCUGCCCUCGGGAGUUCCUACGUGGACCCAGUGCCCAUUGCCAGCCACGUCGUCAGUGCCGAUGCCAUAGAAGUCCUGACAGCCUACAGCCCUGCCGUGCUGGCGCUCAACGACAUGCUGAAGCAGCAGCUGAACCUGACGCAGCAGUUCAUCGCCGCCAGCCGCCACCUGCACCUCUCCCUCCUGCGGUCCAUGGAAGGGGACUCGUUCCACUACCACUCCCUGGAGGAAGCCAAAGAGUAUAUCAGGUGCCACAGGCCCACACCGCUCACCAUGGAGGACGCACUGCGGGAGGUGCAGGAGGAGCUGUAAGUACCAGCCAGGAGCUACUUCCCUUUUGGAACCUCACAUCCUCCUGUGCAAACUGCAGUGAGUCCAGGCACACGUGAGAGCAGGCCCAGGCUUCAGACCUCUAACAGCCAGCCCGGCACAUGGAGGGACUCAAGGUGGCGAAGACAAGGAGCAAAUCAGACAUUUGCAGCCACCAGGGAGGCCAUCACCUGGGGUUGCUGCCCUCAGACCUAUCCCAGGAUCUGCCUCUGGGCCCUGUGCUGACACGGCAGCCUUCUCCAGCUUGAAGGCAGCAGCUCCAGACUCUGCACCGCCUGGUGGUGCUCUGACCGCGCCCUAAAGCCAGGAUCACAAACUCUGAUGGGGGCUGGGGUGCAAAUGUACACAGAUGAGGCUGGCCAGGCUGCCAAACCCCUAAUCUUUCAAGAGAAGGCAGAAAACCAGAUUUUUUAAAAAUAAAUAGCCAAAACAUCAACAUGAACAACAGAAAUAGCAGAGACUAUUUCUAAACGCGUGAGACUCCAUGUGGGUACGACAAGCCUACAUUGAUUUCUGUUUCAGUCUUCCAGGGAUGGAGCCAGGGCACUGUCCACUGAGCCAAAUGCCCAGACCUUUUUAUUUUUUACUUUUGAGACAGGAUCUCGCUAAAUCGUUUAGGGCCUCACUAAGUUGCUGAGGCUGAACUUGCAAUCCUCCUGCCUCAGAUUCUGUACUACCAUAUGUAACAGGCGUAUGUCACCAUGCAUGGCACCAACCUUGGACGAACUUGUGUACUGCUGGGUCAAGGCGGAGCCUCAGUGAGCCUGAUCUAGUUUGCAGACAAAGGGCCUAUUUCCCACCUACAGAAAGGACGGAGAGCUGCUCCCUACUCAGGGGGCACCCCCAAAGCUCCCCCAGCACUCAGAGGACGGAACAGUCUAUGAAGAUGUCCUAUUUUCUGUGAAGUUAAAUCUUUGGUCCUGAAGCUGAGGGUGGGGGCUCAGGCUAUGAGCUGUUUCCUUGCCGUCCUUAGGUCCUCCCUGUGGACACACAUUCACCUGGGAAGGCCAUGCCACACUGAGAGGAAAAAGCAGAUAUCCAGAGAAGGCCUGGGCUGCAUUCAAAUGCUCCGUCCAGCUGGAUCCAGCGGGACGCAGGGCGUUUCCUGGUCAUGCUGUGCCAGGCUGCCUUGUCCUGGCCUGAAGGUUCCCAACCCUAAGGAAUCUGUUAGCCCCAGAAAACAACCUACAAACUCCUGAAGUCUGAGGCUCUGACUGUCUCUUUCUUCAGGAAACUACCUAUUCCUUUCAGGAUGCAAAUGCUGACGCUCCGUGAAUCAAACCAGCUAGAGUAGCUCCUUCCCAGCACUCUCGGGAGAGGAGAUCUACAUUAUGGAGAGGCCCGGAUGAUGACUGGGAUAGAAAAGGGGCCUAGCCAGGGCUGAGCCAGAAUCUCACUCCAGCUUCCUCAGAGCCACAAACUGCCCACCAACCAGCAGUCUGUCCAUUUGCCUGCCAUCUCAUCAGGCCCCAAGUGUCCACCCUGCCCCCCAAAGUUUUAUGGAAUACCUGCUGUUGGCCCCAAGGAGCAACAGGGUGGGGCUGAUCAAACCAAGGGGGCUUGUUAGGCGGAAUCUGGUCAUGAGGUCCGGGGCCCCGGGGGCCGGCAGCUGCAGGAUCCUGGACCCCUCCUGUGCCAUCGUACUCUGAAGAGCCCGGCAUUUGGAUGGGAGGUUUGUUGUCAUCUAAAGCCAGGCAAGAAGUGGUCAGAGAAAGCACUGGUGAGAGGGAGGCUGCCUGACUGGACCCUGAUGCCCAACUAGGGUUGGGGGUGACAAUUCUUGCUUCAUGAUUCCACUGGAGACCAUGACCACCUCCCUCUUCCAGGAAAGGGAUGGGAGAGGGAGAUUCUGACCUCCCACGUGAGACGUACCAUCUUCUCUACAGCAUACGUAUCUUACUGUCUCAGCUGUCUUGAUUUUAACUUGUAGAAUUUUUAUCAUUGAUUUUUAAAUUAAAUUUCUAUGUCUAGUUAAAA